UUCGACACACUAUCAUUAACUGAAUCCAUAGGUUAAUGAGGCGAACCGGGGGAACUGAAACAUCUAAGUACCCCGAGGAAAAGAAAUCAACCGAGAUUCCCCCAGUAGCGGCGAGCGAACGGGGAGGAGCCCAGAGCCUGAAUCAGUGUGUGUGUUAGUGGAAGCGUCUGGAAAGGCGCGCGAUACAGGGUGACAGCCCCGUACACAAAAAUGCACAUACUGUGAGCUCGAUGAGUAGGGCGGGACACGUGGUAUCCUGUCUGAAUAUGGGGGGACCAUCCUCCAAGGCUAAAUACUCCUGACUGACCGAUAGUGAACCAGUACCGUGAGGGAAAGGCGAAAAGAACCCCGGCGAGGGGAGUGAAAAAGAACCUGAAACCGUGUACGUACAAGCAGUGGGAGCACGCUUCGGCGUGUGACUGCGUACCUUUUGUAUAAUGGGUCAGCGACUUAUAUUCUGUAGCAAGGUUAACCGAAUAGGGGAGCCGAAGGGAAACCGAGUCUUAACUGGGCGUUAAGUUGCAGGGUAUAGACCCGAAACCCGGUGAUCUAGCCAUGGGCAGGUUGAAGGUUGGGUAACACUAACUGGAGGACCGAACCGACUAAUGUUGAAAAAUUAGCGGAUGACUUGUGGCUGGGGGUGAAAGGCCAAUCAAACCGGGAGAUAGCUGGUUCUCCCCGAAAGCUAUUUAGGUAGCGCCUCGUGAAUUCAUCUCCGGGGGUAGAGCACUGUUUCGGCAAGGGGGUCAUCCCGACUUACCAACCCGAUGCAAACUGCGAAUACCGGAGAAUGUUAUCACGGGAGACACACGGCGGGUGCUAACGUCCGUCGUGAAGAGGGAAACAACCCAGACCGCCAGCUAAGGUCCCAAAGUCAUGGUUAAGUGGGAAACGAUGUGGGAAGGCCCAGACAGCCAGGAUGUUGGCUUAGAAGCAGCCAUCAUUUAAAGAAAGCGUAAUAGCUCACUGGUCGAGUCGGCCUGCGCGGAAGAUGUAACGGGGCUAAACCAUGCACCGAAGCUGCGGCAGCGACACUAUGUGUUGUUGGGUAGGGGAGCGUUCUGUAAGCCUGUGAAGGUGUGCUGUGAGGCAUGCUGGAGGUAUCAGAAGUGCGAAUGCUGACAUAAGUAACGAUAAAGCGGGUGAAAAGCCCGCUCGCCGGAAGACCAAGGGUUCCUGUCCAACGUUAAUCGGGGCAGGGUGAGUCGACCCCUAAGGCGAGGCCGAAAGGCGUAGUCGAUGGGAAACAGGUUAAUAUUCCUGUACUUGGUGUUACUGCGAAGGGGGGACGGAGAAGGCUAUGUUGGCCGGGCGAC
rnacentral:rRNA from 1 species